rnacentral:rRNA from 2 species
UGGGGAAUAUUGGACAAUGGGCGAAAGCCUGAUCCAGCCAUGCCGCGUGUGUGAAGAAGGUCUUCGGAUUGUAAAGCACUUUAAGUUGGGAGGAAGGGCAGUUACCUAAUACGUAUCUGUUUUGACGUUACCGACAGAAUAAGCACCGGCUAACUCUGUG